rnacentral:sRNA from 1 species
AAGUUCAUAAGCUCGCGGAUGCUUGCAUACGGCGACUUAUGAACUUAAGAAAAUCGCACCUACAUGAGGAAGAAGCGAUUUGCGUCAGCAAAUCAGCGGAAUCCGAAUGUAGGUAGAAUUGUGGAAGCAGCGUAGCUGCGGAACAAUUCGU